rnacentral:rRNA from 2 species
CUGACUGACCGAUAGUGAACCAGUACCGUGAGGGAAAGGCGAAAAGAACCCCUGUGAGGGGAGUGAAAUAGAACCUGAAACCGUGUACGUACAAGCAGUAGGAGCAGGCUUGUCCUGUGACUGCGUACCUUUUGUAUAAUGGGUCAGCGACUUAUAUUCAGUGGCAAGGUUAACCAUCUAGGGGAGCCGUAGGGAAACCGAGUCUUAACUGGGCGUUCAGUCUCUGGAUAUAGACCCGAAACCAGGUGAUCUAGCCAUGGGCAGGUUGAAGGUUGAGUAACAUCAACUGGAGGACCGAACCGACUAAUGUUGAAAAAUUAGCGGAUGACUUGUGGCUAGGGGUGAAAGGCCAAUCAAACCUGGAGAUAGCUGGUUCUCCCCGAAAGCUAUUUAGGUAGCGCCUCGGACGAAUACUACUGGGGGUAGAGCACUGUUAAGGCUAGGGGGUCAUCCCGACUUACCAACCCUUUGCAAACUCCGAAUACCAGUAAGUACUAUCCGGGAGACACACGGCGGGUGCUAACGUCCGUCGUGGAGAGGGAAACAACCCAGACCGCCAGCUAAGGUCCCAAAUUACUACUAAGUGGGAAACGAUGUGGGAAGGCUCAGACAGCCAGGAUGUUGGCUUAGAAGCAGCCAUCAUUUAAAGAAAGCGUAAUAGCUCACUGGUCGAGUCGGCCUGCGCGGAAGAUGUAACGGGGCUAAGUAGUAAACCGAAGCUGCGGCAAU